rnacentral:rRNA from 1 species
GACGAACGCUGGCGGCGUGCUUAACACAUGCAAGUCGAACGGAAAGGCCCUGCUUUUGUGGGGUGCUCGAGUGGCGAACGGGUGAGUAACACGUGAGUAACCUGCCCUUGACUUUGGGAUAACUUCAGGAAACUGGGGCUAAUACCGGAUAGGAGCUCCUGCUGCAUGGUGGGGGUUGGAAAGUUUCGGCGGUUGGGGAUGGACUCGCGGCUUAUCAGCUUGUUGGUGGGGUAGUGGCUUACCAAGGCUUUGACGGGUAGCCGGCCUGAGAGGGUGACCGGCCACAUGGGGCCUGAGAUCCGGCCCAGACUCUUCCGGGAGGAAGCAGUGGGGAUUAUUGCACAAUGGGCGGAAGCCUGAUGCAGAAACGCCGCGUGCGGGAUGACGGCCUUCGGGUUGUAAACCGCUUUCGCCUGUGACGAAGCGUGAGUGACGGUAAUGGGUAAAGAAGCACCGGCUAACUACGU